rnacentral:lncRNA from 1 species
GCUUGGGUGGGAAGAGGGAGCCUCUGGGAUUCUGCUGGGCUGGGCCCUGAAGGCAGGAGUGGACGAGAAAUGGAUACGGUCUAGGCUCAGCUUCCCGGCUACGCAGUGCGUUCUGUGAAGGACGGACUCAUUUCUACAUUGACAGUCUUAGCCUUUGAUACCAGAAGUCGCAGCACUUAGGGGGAAAAAUGCUUUUUGGUAAUUAUAAUUAGCGACAUUUGGUUGUUACCACUGCUAAAUAUGUCUGUCUUUGCUGAGGAGCCAAUCUCAGCUCGGAUCAGGGUGAGUGGAUAGGAGAAAUAAAUCUCGGCAAAGACAGCGAGGGGCCUGAGUGCGAGGAAGAACUCCCAGAGACCGCCAGCCACCUCUUGGGGACUCACAGCGCUGCGGAGGCGAGUCCAGCAUUCUAGCCAGCCGCGCACGGACGUCGGUUCCCAGAUGCGCCAAUGCCAGGUCUCUCCAGCCCGGCUGGCCUUUUCAGCAGCAGCAGCAGCAGCCGCAGGAAAGCGGCCAGACAAAUCCCACCCCCGGCCCCGCCCGUCACAUCCAUCUUGCUCCCCAGGCGACGCUUUCUCGGAGAAGCGAGGGGCGGGGAGGGGAAAUCUAAGCCUUUGGGGGUUGCCGACAGGUGUUUGGGGGAGA